rnacentral:rRNA from 1 species
UCGAAAACCCGCCCAACAAAAGACCCGCGAACUUGUCUCUACACCAUUGGGAGUGAUGCGAUGGUCGUGGCCUUGUUGCCUAGCCUUCUAUUCUCUCCUUGCGAGUGGAUGUGCACGGACCCUUCGGGUGAUGUGCUCAUUUGCUUGUCAAACAACGAACCCCGGCGCAGAUACGCGCCAAGGAAAAUGGAACAAGGGUGCACGCCCCCAACCCGCUUCCGGGUGGUGUUGGCGCAUGCAAUCUUUCGUACAACUAAACGACUCUCGGCAACGGAUAUCUCGGCUCUUGCAUCGAUGAAGAACGUAGCGAAAUGCGAUACUUGGUGUGAAUUGCAGAAUCCCGUGAACCAUCGAGUCUUUGAACGCAAGUUGCGCCUGAAGCCAUCAGGCUGAAGGCACGUCUGCCUGGGCGUCACGCAUUGCGUCACUCGCCCCCCCUCUCUCGUGCCUAAGCGUGCAUGCCGGGGCGUGGGUGGAUAUUGGCCCCCCGUUUGCGUUUGGUGGUCGGUCGGCCUAAAAGUGAGUCCCCAACGACGGACAUCACGACGAGUGGUGGUUGUUAAAUCGUCGCGCCAUGUUGAGGAUGCCAUUGUUUGUUGCGGGUUGGCUCGUUGACCCUAAAGGUGCUAGCACUUGCGGCACCUCG